rnacentral:rRNA from 1 species
GCAAGUCGAGCGCGCCCUUCGGGGUGAGCGGCGGACGGGUGAGUAACGCGUGGGAACGUGCCCUUUGCUGCGGAAUAGCCACUGGAAACGGUGAGUAACACCGCAUGAGCCCUUCGGGGGAAAGAUUUAUCGGCAAAGGAUCGGCCCGCGUUGGAUUAGGUAGUUGGUGGGGUAAUGGCCUACCAAGCCGACGAUCCAUAGCUGGUUUUAGAGGAUGAUCAGCCACACUGGGACUGAGACACGGCCCAGACUCCUACGGGAGGCAGCAGUGGGGAAUCUUAGACAAUGGGCGCAAGCCUGAUCUAGCCAUGCCGCGUGAGUGACGAAGGCCCUAGGGUCGUAAAGCUCUUUCGCCUGUGAUGAUAAUGACAGUAGCAGGUAAAGAAACCCCGGCUAACUCCGUGCCAGCAGCCGCGGUAAUACGGAGGGGGUUAGCGUUGUUCGGAAUUACUGGGCGUAAAGCGCGCGUAGGCGGAUUGGAAAGUUGGGGGUGAAAUCCCGGGGCUCAACCCCGGAACUGCCUCCAAAACUUCCAGUCUGGAGUUCGAGAGAGGUGAGUGGAAUUCCGAGUGUAGAGGUGAAAUUCGUAGAUAUUCGGAGGAACACCAGUGGCGAAGGCGGCUCACUGGCUCGAUACUGACGCUGAGGUGCGAAAGUGUGGGGAGCAAACAGGAUUAGAUACCCUGGUAGUCCACACCGUAAACGAUGAAUGCCAGUCGUCGGCAAGCAUGCUUGUCGGUGACACACCUAACGGAUUAAGCAUUCCGCCUGGGGAGUACGGCCGCAAGGUUACAACUCAAAUGAAUUGACGGAA